AUGAAAUCCAUGGUUUUUCAGGUUGGCGAUAAGAGAUACUUGACUUCGCCUCCAGCUAUCACAUCCCGCGCAAGAAUUCAAAUGCUUAAUGAAGCGAUGAAGUGUGUGUAAAACAGGUGCAGUUGUACUCGCAUCCGCUAGACCAUGAUACAGAAACAGUAGGCGUUGAGUUCGCUUGUUGAUUAUCCUAUAUAAGAUCUAUAGAAUAGGGGUAGAGAUCAGAAGCUAACGCCAGCGGUGCCGUCAUACUGAGAGCGGCUCGAAUCACGCACAUAAUUUGGCGUCACCUUACUGCUAUUCCCGUUCACAAUGCGCAGUUUGGUUAUUCUAGGAAUAGUGGUGGUCCUAGGCCUGGUUGUACGGCAAAGCCAAUGUUUUAUGCCCCAUGACUUCCAUUUUGAGACUCCAGCUCCAAGAAUAGUAAGAAGAACAUCUGAAAAGGCUAAACGAGAAAUGGAAGGGUUCUGCCAAGCCGCAAGAAGAUUUUGCUUAAAAAGAAAACAAGAACUCUAUCGAGUAGCUGAUAAGAAAACAAGCACACAACAACAUCAACGAAAGUAUUCAUACGACUGACCACCUGUGGGAUUAACCAAAAGAGAAGAGAUCGGUGGAAAAAGACAUUUGAUGCUGUCGAGGUUUUGACGGGAAAUGAUUAUUUUUUUAUAUAAAAUCUACACAAUCUACACGUCGACUUGUGUCGUAUAAAAAAGCAUUCUGAAUGGUUUCUUGUUACCAGGAAGGAGUGUUAUUUUCAUCACGUGAUUCUCUCUCGGUACCAGGCUUCCCCACCUUGUCAGUGAAGACACUGGGACUUUGUGCAGCCAGGAGCUCUUAGAUUUAUAAGACCAUCAUACAAAUUCACACGAAUAAUAAUCUAUGAGCUACCAUGAUUGUCAAGAUUAUCAUCACUAGCACCAACACAAUCAUCAUCAUUUCCACAUCAUCAUCUUCCUGAUAUAGAACAAUUUGUUUUCAAAACUGUCGUUUUUCAUGCUCGCUCGCUUUCUUAUUAGGACAUUAAAUACAAUAUCUAGGAGUGCGCUUCUAUCACUUUUCGCUUCUUUCCUCUCUUAGAACAAUUUGAGCGUCAAGAAAUUCCAUGUAAAUCCGCAGUUAUUCGUGUUUACUAUGAUUUUACUGUCCGCCACCUUGAAAAACUGACCCAGACCCUAUCGAUUUAGAUCACCACAGGUCUCCCGAGUGCCUGCCCUAGGCUCUUUUAGACCAUUAAGAAUAGAUAUCUUCUUUAUAAAACAAACCUUUAAAGUGGUCUUCCCCGAGCUAGAAUCUAAGAGUUGAGAGCUAGCGUUAUAAAGUGUACUCGAAGUCUACUCAAACUCGUUCCCACUCUUCACUGAUGAGGUCGGGAAGCCUGUGCCUAGUGUUGGCGCGCAUGCGUGGUAAGGGGGCUUAUCGCUAAGCAGCAUAGGGAAAACUAUUUCAGUCUUAGUUUUCAUAUAAUAAUAAAAAAUAUAUAGCAUCCUA